rnacentral:rRNA from 1 species
ACGCUAGCGGCAGGCGUAAUACAUGCAAGUCGAACGGUCAGUAGCAAUACUGAUAGUGGCGCACGGGUGCGUAACACGUAACUAACCUACCCAUCAUUGGGGGAUAGCCCGCCGAAAGGCGGAUUAAUACCGCAUAAGACUAUAGAGCGGCAUCGCUUAGUAGUUAAAGAUUUAUUGAUGAUGGAUGGGGUUGCGGGUCAUUAGCUAGUUGGUAAGGUAACGGCUUACCAAGGCGACGAUGACUAGGGGAGCUGAGAGGCUGGUCCCCCACACGGGCACUGAGAUACGGGCCCGACUCCUACGGGAGGCAGCAGUAGGGAAUAUUGGGCAAUGGGCGAGAGCCUGACCCAGCCAUGCCGCGUGCAGGAAGAAGGCUUUCUGAGUCGUAAACUGCUUUUGACAGGGAAGAAUAAGCUUCACGUGUGAAGUGAUGACGG